rnacentral:rRNA from 1 species
UACAGAGGUCCCGAGCGUUGUUCGGAUUCACUGGGCGUAAAGGGUGCGUAGGCGGUCGGGUAAGUCAGGUGUGAAAGCUCUGGGCUUAACCCAGGAAUUGCAUCUGAUACUGCUCGGCUUGAGUACGGUAGAGGAGGGUGGAAUUCCCAGUGUAGCGGUGAAAUGCGUAGAUAUUGGGAGGAACACCGGUGGCGAAGGCGGCCCUCUGGACCGAAACUGACACUGAAGCGCGAAAGCUAGGGGAGCAAACGGG